GCAGGCGGACUCUCAACCACUGCGCCACCAGGGAAGCCCUGUUUGAACUCUUAAAAUUGUCCACUAAGGCUAUGAAGACCCAGAAGUUUUUCUCCCCUCUUCAAUACCUUCUCAAUGCUUUGCUCUCUGACUUUCUGUGUGAGAGGUGCUUUAUAUAUUCAAUUUGCUGGUGAGCUAUGAGAUGAAAGGAGUCUUAAUGUGGAGAAGCCUGGAACUGCCCACAGGCAUGGUGGGGAGAGGGCAGCUCCAAGAAAAGCCUGCUGCCCUUAGGUAAAGUACCAGGGAAAGGGUAGCCUAACAUAAAAUAUCUUUUUGAUAAUACCUGCCCUACUUCAGGCAAACACUGUGGAAAAACUGCCCCACCCUCCUACUCUGGCUCCAUAGUUUCAGCAGGAAAGAGGAAUCUAAUGUACGUACACACACACGUGCACACACACACACACACACACACACACAUAUACAAAGCAGGCUCUGAUUCCCCAGCUUGAGUGGUAUGUUGGUGGGACCAAGUAAGGAACUGGUCUUCAAUCCUCUGCCCAGCAGAAGCAGGUCAGGCACCAAUCCACCCUCCUGGGUAAUGUCAGCUGAGCACAGCAAGGAGCCAAUCCCCACCGUAAAUCAGCAAGUGGAAUUAGUAGAGUCAGGAGGCUGGUCUUCAAUUAACAAUCUAAUUCCACAUCCACUAUUCCUCUCUCUC